rnacentral:rRNA from 1 species
AUUGAACGCUGGCGGCAUGCCUUACACAUGCAAGUCGAACGGCAGCACGGGAGCAAUCCUGGUGGCGAGUGGCGAACGGGUGAGUAAUAUAUCGGAACGUGCCCAGUCGUGGGGGAUAACGUAGCGAAAGCUACGCUAAUACCGCAUACGAUCUAUGGAUGAAAGCGGGGGAUCGCAAGACCUCGCGCGAUUGGAGCGGCCGAUAUCAGAUUAGGUAGUUGGUGAGGUAAAGGCUCACCAAGCCGACGAUCUGUAGCUGGUCUGAGAGGACGACCAGCCACACUGGGACUGAGACACGGCCCAGACUCCUACGGGAGGCAGCAGUGGGGGAAUUUUUGGACAAUGGGCGCAAGCCUGAUCCAGCAAUGCCGCGUGCAGGAUGAAGGCCUUCGGUU